rnacentral:rRNA from 1 species
CUUGAACGCUGGCGGCAGGCCUCCCCCCUUCAAGUCGAACGAGUGGCGGACGGGUGAGUAAUGUCUGGGCAACUGCCUGAUGGAGGGGGAUAACUACUGGAAACGGUAGCUAAUACCGCAUACCAUCAGAUGUGCCCAGAUGGGAUUAGCUAGUAGGUGGGGUAAUGUCUCACCUCGGCGACGAUCCCUAGCUGGUCUGAGAGGAUGACCAGCCACACUGGAACGGAGACACGGUCCAGACUCCUACGGGAGGCAGCAGUGGGGAAUAUUGCACAAGGGGCGAAAGCCUGAUGCAGCCAUGCCGCGUGUAUGAAGAAGGCCUUCGGGUUGUAAAGUACUUUCAGCGAGGAGGCGUUACUCGCAGAAGAAGCACCGGCUAACGAAGGGAAAGCAGCCGCGGUAAUAC